rnacentral:rRNA from 1 species
AUACAAAGGGCAGCGAAACCGCGAGGUCAAGCAAAUCCCAUAAAGUUGUUCUCAGUUCGGAUUGUAGUCUGCAACUCGACUACAUGAAGCUGGAAUCGCUAGUAAUCGUAGAUCAGCAUGCUACGGUGAAUACGUUCCCGGGCCUUGUACACACCGCCCGUCACACCACGAGAGUUUGUAACACCCGAAGCCGGUGGAGUAACCUUUUAGGAGCUAGCCGUCGAAGGUGGGACAAAUGAUUGGGGUGAAGUCGUAACAAGGUAGCCGUAUCGGAAGGUGCAGCUGGAUCACCUCCUUU